GAUGAACGCUGGCGGCGUGCCUAAUACAUGCAAGUCGAGCGAACGGACGAGAAGCUUGCUUCUCUGAUGUUAGCGGCGGACGGGUGAGUAACACGUGGAUAACCUACCUAUAAGACUGGGAUAACUGCGGGAAACCGGAGCUAAUACCGGAUAAUAUUUUGAACCGCAUGGUUCAAAAAUAAAAGACGGUCUUGCUGUCACUUAUAGAUGGAUCCGCGGUGCAUUAGCUAGUUGGUAAGGUAACGGCUUACCAAGGCAACGAUGCAUAGCCGACCUGAGAGGGUGAUCGGCCACACAGGAAGUUAGACACGGUCCAGACUCCUACGGGAGGCAGCAGUAGGGAAUCUUCCGCAAUGGGCGAAAGCCUGACGGAGCAACGCCGCGUGAGUGAUGAAGGUCUGCGGAUCGUAAAACUCUGUUAUUAGGGAAGAACAUAUGUGUAAGUAACUGUGCACAUCUUGACGGUACCUAAUCAGAAAGCCACGGCUAACUACGU
rnacentral:rRNA from 1 species